CAGAAAUUGUCACACCGGCUUUGACUGUUUUAAAAAGGGUGUUAUAGCUUUUUCAAAGGACAAUACAAGUAUAGAAACGAUGGGUCGAGCAAAAAUAAAGCUGCGUCAAGUUACUCUAGCAAGGCUAAACACAUUUGUUAUUCCAGAAGGGAUGAAAGUUACAGGUUGGUCAAGUAUAGGUGAGGAUUUCUGUGUAGUUGAUAGCCAUAAUAGACGUGUAGUUUUACUAAACGAAGAAGGCGUAUAUUUGAAAGACAUUGUUAAAUUCAACAACAAUCCGUUAGAUGUCUGUUACGUUGAAAGAUCCAUAGUUGCUGUCACAAUUCCCAACGAUCACAUGGUGGCCUUUGUUGAUACAAACGAAUGUAAAAUAGUCGAAUCAGUUGUAUAUAGACCAAAGUGCUAUUACAUUAAGUGCUAUCGUCGUAUUUUGUUUAUCGGCUGUCCAAAUCUUAGUAGAAUUAUCAUUGCAGAUCUUCAUGGUCGUGAAAUAGGAUCUCUGAAUAUUCCAGGUCAAAGAUUUGCAGUUGACUCUAAUAACAUUUACAUCGCAAAUGAAAACGAAGAUCUUGUUUUAUGUUAUGAUAUUUAUGGAAAUCAGAAGUGGAUUGCUCCAGAUAUCGUUCGGGAUCCUAUAGGAAUAGCAGUUUCUUAUGAGUAUGUGGCUGUAUUAAGUAAACACAAUGCUGUUCAUAUAUUUUCACAUAAUGGAUACGAAAACAGAAUUGUAUUAAAUGCAGAGCAUGGCCUCGACGAUCCUUGUUUUUUUUAUGGGAAUUUGUUCACGCUUAUAGUUGUUUGCAAUAAGCCAAAUACUCAGGCUAUUGUUUAUGAUGAACUGCUGUGGUUAUAGUGUAGAAGAGUUGGAUUCUAGUUUUACUUUUAAACUGAAUUAGGAAGUAAGAAUACACGUAUAUGUUCCUUUCUUUAAGAUAGAAUAUUGCACUUACUUUUUUUUCAUUUGUCAAUAUAUAGAAAGAUAAGAUGUGGUAUGAUUGACAAUGAGACAACUCUCCACAAAAGACCAAAGUCAGUAAAUAUUACAUGACAUUUCCUCCCGGAUGUUCGCGUUGUAAACUGGAGGUACAAGAGCCAUAACCAUUUUAUGUCCCUUUUAGCCAAUGGUCAGUCUCAUAAUAACAUAAUAUCUCGAGUCAUACCCAGGUUCAAAUCGAUGUUGUCUCACUACAUUGUGCACAGGGUAUAAAUAAAGCGAGUGAUGAGUUUUUAACUCAGUUGCAGCUUGAGCCGACCUGAAGACAUGUCAUUCUAUUCCUACGUAUUUACUUUAAUUCCACCAGGUUUACACAGGCGGAUGACCUUCCAGAUAGUCACCUGGUCAUAUUCUUUACGAGGUAUGUUCAUUAGUUAAUAAAUUAAAGGGACCAAUUUCACGACACAUAAGGAUCACUACUCCUUUCAUUUUAUGCCAAUUUAACACAACGCGACGCUUUUUCAAUCCAUUUCUCUUUUAAGGUAUAUGUUGGAUGGACUUUGUACUUUAAUAGAUUUAUUAUACUGUUAUAGGCAUGUUCUGAAAAUAGAUUGUUGUUGAGUUUACUAUUUUUAUUUUGUCAAUUUAAUGGUGAGUUUAAUAUUUUUAUUUUGUCAAUUCAAUAUUCUGUUAUUUGAAAAUACCUAAGUUUAGUCUAAGCCAUUUCAGCAUGUACAGCAAGUGAAUCUUACAUGAUCAAGUUCUGGAAGAAAUACUAGCCAUUAAACGCCAAAAAAAAUGGCACUUUAGCAACUCCGAUCUGUAACAAAUGGUGCCGCAUGAAAAAGAUACACUUACGCUUGUAUUUGUUUGAAUACUAUAUUAUUUUGUUUUUUUGAGAAAACAAAAAAUAAAUUUUUGUACAUUUUUGUU